CCCAAAAAGGAGGUACUUUCUUGGUUGAGAAGCAAGUAGCCCUAGAAGAGAGCUAACGUCCCUAGUAGCCACUGCUCUGAACUCAAUUUCAUCUCAGUCCGCUUAGGCCCACUCAUUCCAUGGCCAAAGGACUGCCCUAAAGUUACUAAGAGUCCUGGAAGUUUAAUCCCUUCGCUUUUGGAAUAAACGCAAGCCUUCCUGGCCUGGCCCUGA